GGCGGGGCGGGGAGCUACUAAUGCAGUCGAGCGGAGCUUUGGAGCUUGCUCCAUUGGUUUAGCGGCGGACGGGUGAGUAACACGUGGGCAACCUGCCCUGCUGAUCGGGAUAACUCCGGGAAACCGGUGCUAAUACCGAAUAGUUUUUUGCCCCUCCUGGGGCGAAACGGAAAGACGGUUUCGGCUGUCACUGCACGAUGGGCCCGCGGCGCAAUAUCUAGUUGGUGGGGUAAUGGCCCACCAAGGCGACAAUGCGUAGCCGACCUGAGAGGGUGAUCGGCCACACUGGGACUGAGACACGGCCCAUACUCCUACGGGAGGCAGCAGUAGGGAAUCUUCCGCAAUGGACGCAAGUCUGACGGAGCAACGCCGCGUGAGUGACGAAGGUUUUCGGAUCGUAAAACUCUGUUGUGAGGGAAGAACAAGUACCAAGUAACUACGGGUACCUUGACGGUACCUCACCAGAAAGCCUCGGCUAACUACGUGCCAGCAGCCGCGGUAAUACGUACGUGGCAAGCGUUGUCCGGAAUUAUUGGGCGUAAAGCGCGCGCAUGCGGUCCCUUAAGUCUGAUGUGAAAUCCCACGGCUCAUCCGUGGAGGGUCAUUGGAUACUGGGGGACUUGAGUGCAGAAGAGGAAAGUGGAAUUCCACGUGUAUCGGUGAAAUGCAUAUAGAUGUGGAGGAACACCAGUGGCUAACGCGACUUUCUGGUCUGUAACUGACGCUGAGGCGCGAAAGCGUGGGGAGCAAACAGGAUUAGAUACCCUGGUAGUCCACGCCGUAAACGAUGAGUGCUAAUGUUAGGGGGUUUCCGCCCCCUUAGUGCUGCAGCUAACGCAUUAGGCACUCCGCCUGGGGGAGUACGAGCCGCAAGGCUGAUUACUCAGAGGGACUUGACGGGCGGCCCGCACAAGGCGGUUGAUCAUGUGAUUUAUUUCGGAAGCAUCGCGAGGAUCUUACCUGGUCUUGACAUCUCCGCAUGACCGACCUUACAGAAUAGGGCUUCCAUCGGGGACAGGUGACGGUCGGUUGCAUGCCUU
rnacentral:rRNA from 1 species